rnacentral:lncRNA from 1 species
UCCCGAUACCAGCUCACGAUUUGCAAGAGGAAUAUGGUGCGGAUACUCAAAGCAGUGUGCCCAUGCACAUUAUUUCUGCUCUGCAAAGAGAAACCAUGAGAAUGUUAUCGAGGGCAUUCAAUUGAGGGCCCUGAUCUCAUAAUUGAAACCCAGUUGUGAACCAGGCGUAGACGUCUGGCAAUUACGUUGCCUAUUUCUAGACUAUUUCUAGACUAAUAUUCUAUGCUCUGUUUUCUUUCUGUUUCUAUAAGUUUAGCAGUAAUGGUAUCACCAUCUUUUACUUGUUGACCCAUUGGUACGAUACCGUAGUCCUCGCCCACAGGGACCUCUCCCAUGCUGGGAAUUGUAUGGUCAAGUUUGCACAUGUUCUAUCUUGCACAACUGGGUGAAUUCAAGCUUUAUCCUGGGAUUAGGAGUGUAAAAACU